rnacentral:tRNA from 1 species
GGGCUUGUGGUCUAGGGGUAUGAUAUUCGUUUCGCACCUGUGAAAGCUCAAACGAGCAAUCAGUAAUAGUUGCAUAUGAAAGGUCCCGGGUUCAAUUCCCGGCGGGUCCA